GACGAACGCUGGCGGCGUGCUUAACACAUGCAAGUCGAACGGAAAGGCCCUUCGGGGUACUCGAGUGGCGAACGGGUGAGUAACACGUGGGUGAUCUGCCCUGCACUUUGGGAUAAGCCUGGGAAACUGGGUCUAAUACCGAAUAGGACCACGCGCUUCAUGGUGUGUGGUGGAAAGCUUUUGCGGUGUGGGAUGGGCCCGCGGCCUAUCAGCUUGUUGGUGGGGUAAUGGCCUACCAAGGCGACGACGGGUAGCCGGCCUGAGAGGGUGACCGGCCACACUGGGACUGAGAUACGGCCCAGACUCCUACGGGAGGCAGCAGUGGGGAAUAUUGCGCAAUGGGCGCAAGCCUGAUGCAGCGACGCCGCGUGA
rnacentral:rRNA from 1 species